GUCGGCAAGGUUAGCUCAACCCAGCACUACAGAACAGCUUGUUGGAACAGAGACAGGACGAGAUGCAAUAUGCACAGAACUUUGCUGGAAUAUUGAAAAGUCUGGCUUGAACCUGACCUGCACUGGCAGUGGAUCGCAGCUUGUGGCAGCCCACAUGAAAUGAGCUGAAUAUCUCCGUCUGCUUCCAAGUGAACGAGGGCUGCUUUGGAGAAUGCUACCCCAGAUAACCCCCAAACUGACAGUCUGGGAAGGAAGUGAAUGAACAUGGGUGCUGAGUCACUUUUCACUUUCUUUGCUGUGAACAGCACACAAACUGUUACUGGCGUGAUUGGGGACCACAUUGGAAGCUUGCACUUUUGGACCCAGGGACAGAGCACUUCCCUUUGCAAGACAGCUAAAUGAAACCCUGCAGGAGCCUAGAGCUGGUAUGCUCUCAUCACCCACAGCCAGCAGCGCUUUGGGCCCAGGCUGCUCAGGAAUAUGCACCUGGACACCAAAGGUACCUCUGAGCCAAGGCUGGAACCUUUACUGUGUCUGCAUCUGCUGAAACUGGGGGUGUAAGAGAGGGAGAAGUGUGAUUUACACUGGUGGAGCUUACUGCUGAACUCACUGGUGUUGUGUGAGCCCUGCUUUUGCUUCCUUGGUGCACCUCCAUGUGAAGGGAGCAUGACUGGAAGAUAGUUCAGCAGGCAUCUGAGCUGGGAGAAGGCAAGCCAGUGAUAGAACAAAAGCCCCUUCUUGGAGGAUUGUGCCUAAAGUGUCAGGCUGCUCCUCGGUGGCAGAUCUGUGUUCCCUCAGCCCCUGUCAGUUGUUCUUACACUGCCCUUUCUGCUACACUAGCCCAGCUCACAACCUGGUAACCACAACCACAAAAAGAAGAGUAUUUUCUAGCUGAAUC